rnacentral:lncRNA from 1 species
AGAUGGGGAAGGAUCUUACUUGGUAACAGGAUCAUCUCCAAACUUCAUGAGCAUCCGGAUGGCUGUUGGUGCCGUGUAGAACUUGGUCACCUUGUAUUUGUCCACAAUGCUCCACAAGCGCCCUUCAUCUGGCUCUCAGCUCAAAUGCUACCUUCUUAGAAGACUCCCCUGAACAGUAGCUGACACCCCCAUCCCUCCUGUUGUUAUUAUUCAUCACACCUGGUUUAUUCCCUACAACACAUAUUUCCAGGGACAUCAAGGGGCCCAGGAACAAAGGAACCAGGCUUAGCUCUAGCAGUAAACUCAGUGGAGCAGACAGAGAGAACAGAUGAGCAUAUAGAUGAGCAAGCACACAGAAGCAGUGUUCAAGAGCAGUGAAGAAGUGGAUACCUGGGGUCGGAUGCACUUGGAUUUCUCUUUCAGCUUACCCUGUUAAGAGCCCAUGGAAUGGAAAGGCUGAUGAGCAGGGUCCAAGGAUAGAGCUGGGACAAAAAAUUUUUUUGAAAAUCACUACCUUUGGACUUGAGGACAAGGCUCAGUGGUACAACCCUCGCCUGGCAUGGGAGAGGCCCUUAGCAAUCCAAGCAUCAGAAAAUGUGGGUUGUAGGGGGAGUGGGGAAUAAAGAGUCAUUUUUAAAAAGA